rnacentral:misc_RNA from 1 species
CACCGUGGUCGUGGUUCCUGAUGAGGCUGUGCUGCGGCAGGCCGAUGCCGACGCCGGCGAGCGUGAACCCAACGCUGAACCCCACGCCGCACCCGGCGCCUACGUACCCAAUCACCUCAGGCCCGAAGCCGGGGCCCCAGCCGACGCCACAGCCGACGCCGAGCCCCACACCCCAGAAGGUGCCGGCCGUCGGGUGCACGGGGUUCCAGCGCUGGUACCGCCCGAGCACGCCCUUGAUGAUCAUCCUCAGCUUCACGGCAGUCUGGACAAAAGGAACAAUGCAAGCAGCAGCAAAAGCCUCAUCAAAGAUCCGACUUUUUUUUCCCCCGCGGAAAAGG